UGAAUGAAAGCAUGACAAGUCAUACAAUACCUUAUUUUUUAACGAAGCGAUAUAAUUUUUAACUGAAUUGCAAGAUGGCAACUGUUCUGAUAAUGAAUGCGAGCGGACAACACUCAACGAAUAUCAACAGAGAUGUAGACGUCAUCGGAAAAAGAAAACAGGCCAGACGAGAAAUUAUAUUGGAAACCAAAGCUAGCAUAGUUCUUAUUCAAGAAUCGGAUAUCAACAUCGAUAGCUUUCUACCAAGGACGGGGCGGUAUCCAAAAUUUGGAUGCCUCGGCAGCAAGCAGGCCGCUGUUCUGUUUCGAACUCAGAUUUUUGAAACCAGAGGCUGUGCAACUUUAAGAAGGCAAGUCAGUGUUCUUUGUGAUGAAUUGGAGAAAACUGGCAUUUUAAGCACCGAAAAUGAAGUAAUGCCGAGGUUAUGUGUGGCACAACUUCAGAUGUUGAGCAACGAUUUUAAAUUUAUUUUCAUAUCAUGGAGUGGACCAGCGUAUGCAGAUAUGGAAAAAAGAAAACGGGUUCUUAAAGAUAUGCUUACUCUUGUGGAUAUGUUUAUGGUAGGAAAACCAGUUUAUAUUUUAAUAGGUGGUGACUUCAACUUGAAGUAUAAUACUAUGAAAGAAAUCCUAAGUGAAUAUCAGCAUUUUUACUUAUCUGAAUGCUCAAAAGAGGAUAAAUAUCCGACCAAAACUGGAUUCUUUGUUAUUUCACAGCCAAUGGUAACGAUGGUAGGCGAUGUUCAUGUGUUCGAAAUUAAACCACUACUCCGAUAUACUUAUCAUGUACAAGCACCCGAUUUAAAACAUGUUCUGAGUCACGAUCCUUUGUUCCUGAAUUUACAUCUGUAAACAUAAUGACAGAAAAUGACUUUAACAUAGAUUGAUUUAAUCAUAAUGUGCUUUUUUUCUGUAAAUCUAAGGAGGUUGAUAUGCUAACUUUUGGCCAGAUUAUUUGUAUCAUUUUUUUGUACAAACUGUAUAUAAGAAGUAUCAAAUAUAUUUCACCAUUUGUAAUGAAAAAUUGAUACCGAAGUAUAAUGUACAUUUAAAAUUAGUAAGGAAAUAUAAAUUUUAUAAUCCUAACUUAUGCCCCCGGCUCAUUAGUCCCUUAUAUGCACCCCAACCCCGGCUCAUUAGACCCUGGUAAGCCUGAUAAGUUAAAAUUAAAAAGUUACCUACAAUCGUUCAUAGUAAGUUGAACAUUGAAAAACUGAAUACCAUGAAACAAGAGAGAUAACUCAAACAAAACUGUAACAAAAACGUUUAUCAUUGUGAUUAAUGUGCAUCCUAUAAAUAUAUGUAUUUGCAAAAAUUAGAUAUGUGUUUAGUACAUGUAUGAUAUGGUAAGUGCUUUUUAUGGUAAUUACGUUCCCAGUUUUAAGUGUUUAAAUAUAUUUAAGAAUAAUUUUUACAUUCAUGAAGAAAAAAAAGUGCUAUCUUUGAAGGAGAUAUCGGAAGUAUUCAAAUGAGAAGAUAUGUUUUAAACCAUUACUUUUAUGAAUUUUUGAUAAAUUUAAUUGCCUUAAAUUUGACGUCCUGAAAAAAGAGAUCACGAAAUAUACAUAUAUACCUUAACUUUACUUUUUCACAGACAAGUACGUGUGAAAUUGAGAUAAAAUCAAUUAGUUUACAGUGAAAAUGUAUAACACAUAAAAACUUGAAAUAAACAGUUUUAGAACCGGGGAGAAAUGUCAAGGAUAACUAUAUACGGACAAUAUACAAUUAGAGAUGUAAUGUUUAUAUGAAUGUUUACGUCGGAUUUCCGUCCGUAAUAUGCCUAUUUAUAAUGAUUAAGUUUUUAUUGAAAAUCGAAAUUUGCUACUGGAAAAUAUUUACAUUCUAGUAAAAAGCCAUUUAUCAAAAAAAUAUUUUUAAAUUGCACCAUUGUUUACUUAUAUAAUAGAUUUCAUCUCAGAUAUAUAGGCACUCAAUUUAAUAUAUAGGAAGAGCAUCCCUAUAUGAUUGUGUAUAAUGUUUUGCCAAUUUUUGUUUAUCAAUAUGCAGCAAGCAUUUAUAUAUUUUAAAAGAUCAGUAAAGCAAACGGUUCUUAUUCGUUAAAUUCACUAUUUUUUCUCGGUAAAUAAUGAAGUUCAGACAAUAUGUAUUUGCAAGUAUAUUCAAUAUUCCAGUACAAGAAAUUAUCAAAAUAUACAUCUGUAUAAUUUUGUUUAAAUAACUUUUAAUCAGUAUUGUGACCGAACUAAACAAAUUAUUUGUAUCCAAAUAAGAGUUGAUUUGAUUGUUUUCGACCCUCUAUUGUAGUUAAUUGCGUACAGUACAUUAUAGUCUUAUCAUAGUAUCCAGUGCUCCCAAUAAACUAUUAUACAUCAACAUUAGUUUCAUUCCCCACUAUUUUUCAACCAUCCGUGAUGCAAUUAUAUUUGAAUACAAUUUGCUUUCGAAACGUAUCCAUAAAAAGAGAUUGUCGUCAAUUUUUAUAGUAAACGAAGAUAUCAGUGUUUAUGCUUACCAUACUUUAUAUAUAUAUAAAAAAAAAACUAUUUAUUAAAACUAAUAAUUCAAGCAUGCUGAUUUUAUCAUUAUUGAGGAUUAAAUAGUCAUUAUUGCAUUUCAGUAUUUUGAAAAAUGCAUUUCAGUAUUCUGAAAAAUGUAGAAAAUUUUAAUGCAUCAUCACAAUUUGUUUAAUUCAGUAUAUCGAAUAUGUUUGAAUGAGCAGAAAUUGGUGUAUUGUUAAUAUCAAAGAAACAGUAACACUUACUCGAUCUACCAACACUGUGACAAGAACUAUCUCUCCACAACCAAAAUAUCAAUGAGAUAUCAAAGAUAGAGAACAAUUUUUGUGAUAAUUUUAUUUAGUAUACUUUCAAUGGAAUAUUGUUGGUACUUCUCGCUUUGAAUAUCCACGAAAAUUACGUUGAACACCAAGUAUAUGUCCAUCAACACAGAAACCAUGGUGAAUGGUGAUUUAGCAGUUCUCUUGAAUGAAGUGUGUAAUUACUGAAAAAUGUGGAUAAAGUGUAAAACGCGAAAUCAAAAGAAAGAGUUUCGUAAUUUCUUUAUAAAUAAUCGGGAAGUAUUUUUCAAAGAUCAAAUCGUCAGUAUUGGUAUUUGUUUCAAGAGGAUUUAGAUAAUAUUGUUGUAAAAUCCAAAAGAUUUUUUUUCCGAGUGGCUUAUGAAUUUGAUGUUGUUUAAUUUUUUAUAUGUCUAUGUAACACAUAGGUGUAAUACUUGUUUUAGGUAUGUUCUAAACUAUAUUGUAAAAUGAAAGAACUUUUAGGUAAUUUAUGAAAUGCAUAACAUUGACAGGCAUUAUAGCAAGUGACUAAAAAUACUUAGGGAACGACCAUUUAACUUCAAGGGGGAGGGGAGGGUUAUGGUUUUUUCCUUAAAAAAUAUUCUGAUCCCCAAAAUUUUCUGACUCAGACAAAAAAACCAUAACCCCCCUCCUCUGAAGUUAAAUGGUUGCUCCCUUAGUCAUUUUGUAAAUGACUAAAAUUUCAAAACAAAAUUCAAAAAAUUGUCUGUGCAAUUUCCGGUAAUUAGGAGAAAAAGAAUAUUAUUGACAUACAUAUGACCAAAAACACAAAUAUCUUGCAAAGAAAAUAGCAAAUGGUUCGGUAAUAUAAAGUUUAUUCUUCAAAUACAAGCUUGGCAAGUUUGUAUGUCUAUGAUGAGUUCUUUUUUUGUGAAAUUACAUUUAGUAUGAAUUUUACUCACUUUGUUUUAUAAUCUUCUUGUCACGAUGGCAGAAGGACAAAUUGUUUUUACAAUAGGAUAAAAUUUACAAAUGAAUUUAUUAUUUAGGACGAGAACAAAUUGAUAAUUAGUUAAAUGGGUAAGUAUUGUGCAAUGGAUUGACCCGGAUAAAGGACAGGAAUUUUGAUUGUCGACUGAAAUGAAGGUAUGUUGAAUAGGGACAGAAAUGGUGACUUCCAACAUGCCACCUACGGAACGAACGGUCACCGAGUUCUUAACGUACUCUGCUUACACGAGGCAUCAGGUUAAACAUCCCUAUUCAGAAAGAAUGCAAAUUUAUACGUCCUGCACAUUCAAACGGAUUCGUCUUUUAAGCAUGGGUUUCACCAUACAAGGGCAUGUUUGGUUGUGAUGCAAAGAUAUGCGUUUUUCAUCUUCACUGCCUCAAGUGAAUUAUUGGGUCUUUACAAUCUGUUGAAUUAACGGAACAGUAAUUCAAAGAUGUUUAAAAAAAUCUCGAAAAUCGAUCAAGAAAAGACAAAUCAAGGUAACAAAGAAAAUCUAAGGGAAUCGCAUGAACUCCAUAGGAAGUGAGACCGGGUGCGUUGACAGGGUAAAUGUCUCCUGCUAUGCAUGCAUCACCCGUAUGAAGAUCUGCUUCAGCCUGUAGAAUGCUCUGAUAAGCUAAAAUAUAUAAGUCAACCUAAUAAUGUAAAUAUUACUUAGAAUCUUUUUGAUGGUCUUGAAGUAUAGAUUCUAGGUACUGACGUUGUUUAUCAUCUUAAUAACGUGUUAUAGUGUUUCUUUUAUUUGUCCUUUUACAUUUUUAACCUUAUUUUUGGUAAUAUACUUUUGGCGUGGCUCGGCACCAUUGUGUUAUUGUGCUAUGGUCAAUUUUGUAUUCUUGUUUUCAUUUUUGCUUAUGUACUUUGUCUAUAGAGUGUCUAUAUGCCAUUUUGUUUUUCUUUGUUGAAAUAGUUAUUUGUUUUUAUAGUGAUAAAGAUUACAUUACAAUGUUGACUGCUGUUCCCCAAUUUUUGACAUUUUCACUAAUUAUCUCUGUUUGUUGUUGUCAAUAUAAUGGAAUUCUAUGCGACUGUUAUACAAGUGAGAGGUUUAGCUAGCUAUAAAACAAGGUUUAAUCCACCAUUUUCUACAUUUGGAAAUGCCUGUACCAUGUCAGGAAUAUGACAGUUGUUUUCCAUUCGUUUGAUGUGUUUGAGCUUUUGAUUUUGCCUUUUUAUAAAUGACUUUCCGUUUUGAAUUUCCCUUGGAGUUCGGUAUUUUUGUUAUUUUACUUUUUAGGAACACAUAAAAAAGAAGAUAUUCAUGUAUGUGCUGUUUGCGAAACCGCAUGUUUUAUGAACGUUAGUGCUUUAUCAGAAAAAGUUUUGACAGGGCUGAAUGUGUCAUGGUCCUAAGUUUUAACACAAUGUGGUUGUAGUGCUAAGACCAUAUUUUACGCUAAACGAUGUAUUUGCAUAAAAUCAGGAGAAAUAAGAAACAGAACCUGCCAUCAAAACAUUUGAUUAAAUAACAAAUAAUGGUGGAGGUCAGUGUUUGAAGGAAUUUCAAAUACUGUAGAUUUAAUCACUAAUCUAUAAAGCUCUUAAAAUGCAAGCGUUAAAAUUCUUUAAUUAAUAGAUCAUAAAUCUUUGUUGUUCUCUACUUUCAAUGGUUCAGUUUUUUUAACAUUUCAUUCUAUGAAAUAAUAUCAGGCAUUUUGUAAAAUGCCUUUCAAUUUUUGCAAGCAUUUUAUAAAAUGCCUAUAUUUUUUCUAUCAUUUUACAGAAUGCCUAAAUUUAGAAAAUACCUGUAACAUAUACAUUAGUUUUAUGUAUAUGUCAUAUGUGUUUAAAUCAGGUUCUCAUAAUUCUUUUUAGAGUGGCUUAUGUAUACGCUGUUGUUUACCUUUUAUAUUUGUUUAUGUUUAUAUAUAUGUACAUUAUGAGGUUGAAUAAAAUAUCUUUCAUGUC